GCUGCCCGAAGGCGGACAGCCUGUAGUGCGCCUUGGGGGAGGCGGCGGCGGCCGCCGUCCAGGCGUCGGGGGCAGCGCUGGUGCUCCGCCGGCGCCGCCUGAAGUGGACAUCGGUGGGGAAGGGCUCGCCGAACUCAUUCACCCGGCUCGAAGAAGUGGACCAGUAAUCGAAGAAUCCCCUGUGUGACACUUCUUUCAGCAGUUGUUUCUUCUGCAUUUCUCAGAUAAGAGGCAAUUCAAGCAAGUUUUGUUUAGGGUCAUAUUUAUGUUGUACAUUUUUCAGGCACCCUGAGGGAAAAGAAAAAGUAUUUCCUUAUCUGAGUUUAUUUUGUUUUGGUUUACAAUUUGAAAGUUUUCUGUAAAAAGACAUCCUUUAGAACUAAAUGUAACUAAGCAUUGUCUUCUACCCCUUCCUCAAACCAAACCCCCAAACCUUGGUUUAAAAGGUUUUUAAACCUUGAAAGCCUGUAGGCAGGGCAAAGGAAAAUAGAUAUCUGGAAGUUUGGUUUGCACUUCCAUAGAAAAUUUCCAAGUUCUGUACUUUCUUCACUCAACUUUGGGACAAAAAACAGAAAUGCCAAUAUUUGCUGCGGAAAGGGAAAGCUUUAAAAUAAAAAUAAAAAUCAAUUAGGAAUCUACCUCUGGGCAAAAUAGCACCUCCUGGCUCUUCAAAGCAACUGGUGAAUUCCUAGAAACCUCAACUGUUAGCAGUAAAUUAUUAAUUUUGUAUGAUGAAUAUAAAAGUCAGAGUAAGCAAAGCACCACCUGUAAAGCUGUGCAUCUUCAAACCCUACAGUUGACUCUCUGGGGUCGGAGGGCUGGAGGCAGACCCUCAGCAGUGCAGAAUCUCCAGGAUUGUGGAGACCCAAGUCAGGACACCCUCAGGGCAAGGCGUAAUGGCACAUAACCUUCCCCGUGUGGCAUUGUGCCCACACUUAUAAAGCAUGGUUUAAUUAAAGUCUCGGAUGUUUACAAUAAGAUAACUCACCCAUAUUGGCUGGGGGGGGGGUGUUGACAAAGCUCAGGUGCUUCCAGAGUGAACUUGCCUUGUGUGCAGACCACUCUGACAGCAGUGUUGGGUCUUCUUACCAUCUCCAGCCUUAGGGUUGGUGAGAGCAGCCUGAUGGUCCCCAAAGUUUGGGGGACAGGGUUGUCUCCCUGCUUUCCACUGUGAGUGUGUAGGAGCAGCGACGUGCCCAUUCUGGUAUGUGUUACCUACUACCAGUAGCAGUUUUCCCAAAACCAAACAUGGUUGUGUCUCCAUGCACUCACCUAUUUGUGAGUGAACCUGGACCAGAUUUGUUUCUCAUGCUGCAAAGGGCCUGCACAGUAACAUUUUCCUGUCCUUGCAGCUGAUUGCUCAUCCACACACAUUAAGAAAGAAAUCAAUCCUCAGAAGAGGAGCAAGACCAAACUAUUCUAAAAUAACUUCAAACUGCAAAGCCUGCCACACACCUCUGACUUGUGUAGCCUUUCCUGGCCCAGCAUGAAAGCAUGUGGAAUUCCCAUCUAUCCCACACCAUUCUGUGUCCCAACUGAGUCAGAAAAGCCACCGAGGUCUUUAGGCUGCUGGAUGAACAAAAAAGGGGAAUCUCAUAACGCCAUCCCAUAGCAGCCCAGGCUUCCUUCCAGGUGUAUUUUCUCACCCUGAUUCUUUUUUCUUUCUUUCUUUGUCUCAUCAAAUAAAUGACUUGACUCAUAGCUGGAGUAACAUCUGCUCCCUGAGCUGCGGUGCUGCUCCACGAGGCUUGCAGGAGCACCCUGAACCCUGACCCUCUUCCAACACCUUCCUACAACUUCUACAUGUGCCCCAAAGCUUUCAAACUUCACAGGACUACAGGGUGCUUGGGAUAUGGCCCCAGAAACCAUGGCAGGGGAAGGGGAGGCUGAGUCCCGUGCUCAGACAUAACAGGCUCUCCCUUACCCCUCUCUGAAUCUCAUCAGAUGCCACUGGAGCAUGCCAGGAUUGGGAACAGAAGUCAACUGAAGGUCCACUUUUGGAUGGAAGGAGAAUAAGAAAAAAAAUAAAGACGAGGUGGACUCACUGUAUUGAGCAGUCCCCACCUUGGAUAACCUGCUGGUGAAGAGGCAGAAGUUCAAGUCCCAAGAAGUUCAAGGAUGUCUCAGGGCCUCUGGAAAUCAACUCCAGCAAGACCCAGUAACACCUGAGGUGAUGAAGGAAGGAGCCCUGACACUUCUUGUGCCUGCACCAAAGCCUCUGACAGUACUGGCAAAACACUGAAUUUAUUUGCUUUAGAUUGAUCUGAUUAGAGCAACAGCU